AUUUAAGUAGCUUAAGUAGAGCAUAACACUGAAGAUGUUAAGGAAAUCUAUGGAUUCUUGAAUA
rnacentral:tRNA from 1 species